rnacentral:misc_RNA from 1 species
AAAGUCGUAACAAGGUUUCCGUAGGUGAACCUGCGGAAGGAUCAUUAACAAAUUCCAAAACUCGUGUUUGACUGGUGUCGUCUAUUGCCAUCGUUGUCGUUGUCUCAUCGUGUGUAUAUGUAUGUACGUAUGAUGAUGAUAACGAGUCACGAUGAUGGUGAUGGGUGGGUACCAGUCAGUACCAAACACACAACAUACACUUGACACAACAUGACACAUACAUUUCGAGAGAGAGAUAUGUGUAUCAUUCUAUCUAUCUAAUGACAGAAUUUUACCAUUCGAUCAAUCCAUAUACAACUUUUAACAAUGGAUCUCUCGGCUCUU